AGUGAACGCUGGCGGUAGGCCUAACACAUGCAAGUCGAACGGCAGCACAGUAAGAGCUUGCUCUUACGGGUGGCGAGUGGCGGACGGGUGAGGAAUACAUCGGAAUCUACUUUUUCGUGGGGGAUAACGUAGGGAAACUUACGCUAAUACCGCAUACGACCUACGGGUGAAAGCAGUGGAUCUUCGGACCUUGCGCGAUUGAAUGAGCCGAUGUCGGAUUAGCUAGUUGGCGGGGUAAAGGCCCACCAAGGCGACGAUCCGUAGCUGGUCUGAGAGGAUGAUCAGCCACACUGGAACUGAGACACGGUCCAGACUCCUACGGGAGGCAGCAGUGGGGAAUAUUGGACAAUGGGCGCAAGCCUGCUCCAGCCAUACCGCGUGGGUGAAGAAGGCCUUCGGGUUGUAAAGCCCUUUUGUUGGGAAAGAAAAGCAGCAGGUUAAUACCCCGCUGUUCUGACGGUACCCAAAGAAUAAGCACCGGCUAACUUCGUG
rnacentral:rRNA from 1 species